UACGAAGGGUGCAACCGUUGCUCGGAAUUAUUGGGCGUAAAGCGCACGUAGGCGGCUUUGCAAGUCGGAUGUGAAAUCCCUCGGCUCAACCAAGGAAGUGCAUCCGAAACUGCAGAGCUUGAGUCUUGGAGAGGGCAGUGGAAUUCCGAGUGUAGAGGUGAAAUUCGUAGAUAUUCGGAGGAACACCAGUGGCGAAGGCGACUGCCUGGACAAAGACUGACGCUGAGGUGCGAAAGCGUGGGGAGCAAACAGG
rnacentral:rRNA from 1 species